UUUAGUGUUAAUUACAUUUAUUCAAUUCUGUUAGUUUUCUUAUUAAUUCAAAAAGUACUGUAGUAGUGUAUAAGAGAUUGUUGUUUUAAUUUUCCCUGCUUCUGAUCCUUAAGAUCAGAAGUGGAAUAGUGAAACUCCCACGUCCUUGUUUGUACAUCCUGAUACGAUGUGUUUCCAUUGUUAUUUCUUUAAUUGGCUAGUCAUACGAUCAGAAAUAUAUUUUUGGAAAUUGUAACUACAAAUUAAAGACAUUUUAGAUGUUUACAGUCCAGUGUUAUAUAUGAGUUUUGUUAACCCACAUUUAUUGAUAGUUGCCGGUAAGAAUAGAUGUCUGAUGGCAUAUCAGUUUACUACCGAUGGAGAUUGGAAAUCUGAAAUGCUUCAACGGGGUAACUGCUAUUUGGGAUCACAGGAAAUAUUAAAUGAUAUACAAGGUUUUAAGAAGAAAAUCAGCCCCGAGAAAUUAUCAGCAUCCAGUAGCGAUGCUAGUAUAAGUUCUAGAGAUCGUAUUUGUAAAUUUUAAUUUGCAAAGAAGGUUCAAAGAAGAAAGAAAUUUUGGUUUGCAUAAAAUUAUCCGGUGUGAAUGCGAAGAAACUUUGUUGUGACGAGAAGUUUUCUUGUUUUGGAACAGUUGAUCAUCCCGGACACAUUCAUAUCAUGAAUUUAAUGCACGCAAACACGUAGCAUCUCAUCCAAGGAGGUUUCAUAUUUUUAUGGACCUCUUUACAGUGUUGAAGAAAAAGAAGUCAAUGCAAACGCCAUUUAAGUCGUAACUACGUGUCACUGCCAUGUUUUUUCUAUUUUAAUUAAUUUUUAUUUUAAAUAAUAGCUUGAACAUGAUUAUGUCCAGGAAUUGUGUGCACGCGAUGCACAUGAAAAAUGCAAAAUUCAGUACAUAUAAUAGUUUUACGUAACGCAAUAAUGAUACAACGAAAAACGAAUUCUAAAUAUCAAAAAAUUGUUUAUAUUUUUAAUAAUAGUAUAAUUUAAA